rnacentral:lncRNA from 1 species
UACUAACUUAUCGUUAAGUAAUAAAAUUUAUAAAGUUCGUAUCCGCAGGGAUUGUUUCAAUCUUGACAAAACAAUUGUAUUGUAUUUAAGACGUAAAUAAAAGGGGGGUUUUUCUUUGGUUUGAAGUUUAAUCAUAAACUAGAAAUAACUUAGGAUUUCAAGUAAUAAAAGAACAUCGAUUGAUCCUUUUGGUUCAUCUAAUUACUAUUUCUCUUGGUAAUUUCAUGUAUGAUUACAAAUUACUCAAUUCAGUUUCACGAUUAGAUUAAAUCAAAAAUGAUUAUGCCCAAUGUCUUGGUAACAUAAUCCUCUCUCUUGAUAAACGAUUCCUAAUGUCUUAGGUAAUCUAUGAUCAAUUGAGGUUUACAAACUUUAAUCUUUUAAUCUCAAUUAACAAUCCGAAAUGUCUUAAGUGAAAGUUAAUUGAUCAAUCANNNNNNNNNNNNNNNNNNNNNNNNNNNNNNNNNNNNNNNNNUUGAAAUCAUUACACAAUUGAUCAAGUCAUGCAAAGCAUUAAGCACAAGGAAUAAUUGAAGAAACUAACUUCGUAAUUCAUAUAUCAAAUCAAAUGAGAAUCACAUGAUUCAAGAGAAAUAUAAAUCAGAAUCACCUAAAGACCAAUCAUGAGAAUUUAGCUAGACAUAACGGUGACAAUAAACAACAUAGAAAAUAAAACAAAACCGGAUAACAUGAUGAUCCUGCUUGUUGCUACUGCCGUGCGUGAUGCUCUUGUUGUUGUUGUACUGUACGUGAUGUGCUUCCUCUCCUCUUCAGUGAUGCGUGAUUCCCUUUUUCUUCUUGUUGUACCUGAUCCGCUUUGCUGCGUGUUCUUUUUUUUUAGUGAUGUCCUUGAAUCCCUUUCUCAAGUGCCAACCUAAUUCCCUUUCUUCUUGGUUUUGGGUCAAGGCAAAUGGCCCAUGUUUUCUUCUUGUAAUUGGUCUAGCUUUGUCAAAGUCUUUCUCUUCUUUUACUAUUUGCACCACACUUAACCAUAAACCUAUUAAAUUGAAUCAAGAAAAUAGAAACUACACCAAAUAUUAUUUUAAUAGAGAAAAACACUUAAUUGACUCAAUAAACCAAAAUUUACAAUUUAUUUAAAAUGAUUCUAAAUUAAACACUAAACUAAUAAAAUUAUAUUAAAAACUUAAUUAAAAAGACUCUAAAAAUACGACUGAUGAGGAUUCAUCACAACCCCAAACUUAAUCUGUUGCUUGUCCUCAAGGAACAAUGCUUUCAAAAGAGUGCAACUCAACCUCAAACACCCAACCAAACAUUCAUGUUAAUCUAUCUCCGUAAUCAAUAAGAACAANNNNNNNNAAUUCAUCCAACAUUCAUCCAUCAAGCUCAAUUCUCUCUUCACACAAUCUCACCAAAAUUCUCUCAAGUGUUUAGGGACAUACACUCAAUCAACACAAUCUACACCUUUCUACCAUAUGCUUGCAAGAACUCUAAAAAUCGAUCGACAUACAAUGAAUAUGCACCUUUCGAGGACUUUUCGGGUUAUAGCGUGGCUUAGAUUUAUUGAAGGGUGGAUAUUUUUGGGAAACUAGGUAGAAAAAACUUGAAGCUUAUAAGAUCACAUAUUUCAAACAAAAGAAGACAUAUCAAUUGAUCCCCCAAAAUCAUCACAUUCAUACUAGAGAACUUAAUUAGCACAAUAUUUUUCCUCAUGCAAAUGAAUUCACAAUGUGUGAACUCAUUCCAUGCUCACAUUUUUGUUUUCACAAAGAAGUCCUCGACAAUUUUUUUUUUUUAUUCAUUUUUUUUUUUCAAACAUGGUGUUAUGCAUUUUGCAUUCUAUUUAUUUAUUUUUCAUUUCUUUCAC